rnacentral:tRNA from 1 species
UCUGGGUGUAGCUCAAUGGAAGAGCACUUGCCUAGCAUGUGUGAGGCACUGGGUUUGAUUCUCAGCACAGUG